GACGAACGCUGGCGGCGUGCUUAACACAUGCAAGUCGAGCGGUAAGGCCUUUCGGGGUACACGGGCGGCGAACGGGUGAGUAACACGUGGGUGAUCUGCCCUGCACUUCGGGAUAAGCCUGGGAAACUGGGUCUAAUACCGGAUAUGACCUCCUAUCGCAUGGUGGGUGGUGGAAAGAUUUAUCGGUGCAGGAUGGGCCCGCGGCCUAUCAGCUUGUUGGUGGGGUAAUGGCCUACCAAGGCGACGACGGGUAGCCGACCUGAGAGGGUGACCGGCCACACUGGGACUGAGACACGGCCCAGACUCCUACGGGAGGCAGCAGUGGGGAAUAUUGCACAAUGGGCGAAAGCCUGAUGCAGCGACGCCGCGUGAGGGAUGACGGCCUUCGGGUUGUAAACCUCUUUCAGCAGGGACGAAGCGCAAGUGACGGUACCUGCAGAAGAAGCACCGGCUAACUACGUG
rnacentral:rRNA from 1 species